rnacentral:rRNA from 1 species
CGGCGGACGGGUGAGUAACACGUGGAUAACUUACCUAUAAGACUGGGAUAACUUCGGGAAACCGGAGCUAAUACCGGAUAAUAUAUUGAACCGCAUGGUUCAAUAGUGAAAGACGGUUUUGCUGUCACUUAUAGAUGGAUCCGCGCCGCAUUAGCUAGUUGGUAAGGUAACGGCUUACCAAGGCAACGAUGCGUAGCCGACCUGAGAGGGUGAUCGGCCACACUGGAACUGAGACACGGUCCAGACUCCUACGGGAGGCAGCAGCG